rnacentral:lncRNA from 1 species
CCAAGACAGAGCCAGGUUAAAGCAUUGGGAGAAGCAAGAAAUUGAGAGGCGCAGACAGCAGGGAGAGCAAGGUCACGAGCAAGCCGAGCAAGAAAUGCCUCAAGCUCAUCCAUCACAGGCUGAGUUUAAUGCACAGUUGUGGCGCCAGAUUUUCACCACCACCACGGGGAUCAGCCGAGACGUGCAGAGUCUCCAGCAGGCUAUGGGGACUUUGACGACUGAGAUGCAUACAGCCCACCAUGACAUCCGCAUUUCCACUGAUAUGUCACGUGCUGCUCGCCAGGAUGCCCAGGCAGCUAGGAGGGAGAUGAACACUAUGAAUGAUCGACUCAGUGUGUAUGUGGGCAUGGUGGAUGGCAUCCAGAUGAGGGUAAAUGAAACUUGGGAGCGUUUGGGCGGGUUGGAGACACGUGUUGAGGGAAUCCACGACGAAAUGACACAGCAGUCAGCACUGAUGAGAGAGAUCUUGGCGCGCCUACCUCCACCUCCAACUGAUGAUACUGCAGGCUCUAGCUUCCCACCGCAGCCCCCGUUUUGAUCAGGGGAGUAUCGUUUGCCUAAUUUGUAUUCAUUUUCCUUAAAUUCUGCCUUCUAAACUUAUUUUUCACAUUGUGGACAAUGUCUUGUAUAAGUUUGGGGGAUGGUGGCAUAAUUUGAUUAAGACAUUCGGCAUGUAACUAAUUGCAUUUCCGCAAUCUAGAUUUAUUUUGACUAAUUGCUGCAUGAGACAUGCUUGUGAGUGAAUAUUGAUUAUGCUUAUGUAUGCUUGUGUGAGCUUAAUCGCCUUGCCGGCUAUAAUGUUACUAUUGGAUUGGUACAUUUCAGAACUUUGGGGUCGGUGCUAAUUAGGCUAACCUAUACUUGUUGAUGCAAUACUUGACAUUCUUUAUACACGUCAUUCAUGCUUGAUAUGUUAGGUCAGUGAUUGGGGUUUUGAGCAAUAAGUAGAGAGAUAGUUAUAACCCUCUAUUGAAUGAACCCGUAAAAUACCUUAAGACAGUUUGGUGAUAGUUGAGCUAUUAUAGGAGAACAUUGAAAUGAGUGAGGCUCCGUGCAUGAAUUAUUGUGUGGAUUGCCUAGACCAUUGGGAUGAAGAGUAGGUGAAAAUCUUAAAUUGAGGGUUAGUUUUGGAUACCAAAUGUCUAGAAAAAUAAGGGCAUGAACUUAAUUUGUGAGAAUAAGACACUUCUUUUUCAGCCUUUAUGACUCGAGCAAGUAAGCCUAUAAGGAUAUUUCAAAAUCUAGUGCCCUAAGGUCAACUGAUCUGGGAAUCACCGGCCUAAAGCUCGAUACAUGGGUCAUAUAGAAAGCAAGAAGUAAAAAAGUUAAUAAAAAGUCAUCUGAUCGAGCCUUUAUAACUCGAGUGAAUAAGCCUGCAAGGGUCUAAAAUUUGGUGCCCUAAAACCAACUGGUUUAGGAGUUACCGGCCUAA